AACGAACGCUGGCGGCAGGCCUAACACAUGCAAGUCGAGCGCUUACCUUCGGGUAGGAGCGGCGGACGGGUUAGUAACGCGUGGGAAUAUACCCUUCACUACGGAAUAGCCUCGGGAAACUGAGAGUAAUACCGUAUACGCCCUUCGGGGGAAAGAUUUAUCGGUGAAGGAUUAGCCCGCGUAAGAUUAGAUAGUUGGUGGGGUAAUGGCCUACCAAGUCUACGAUCUUUAGCUGGUUUUAGAGGAUGAUCAGCAACACUGGGACUGAGACACGGCCCAGACUCCUACGGGAGGCAGCAGUGGGGAAUCUUGGACAAUGGGCGCAAGCCUGAUCCAGCCAUGCCGCGUGUGUGAUGAAGGCCUUAGGGUCGUAAAGCACUUUCGCCAGAGAUGAUAAUGACAGUAUCUGGUAAAGAAACCCCGGCUAACUCCGUGCCAGCAGCCGCGGUAAUACGGAGGGGGUUAGCGUUGUUCGGAAUUACUGGGCGUAAAGCGCACGUAGGCGGAUUAGUCAGUCAGAGGUGAAAUCCCAGGGCUCAACCCUGGAACUGCCUUUGAUACUGCUAGUCUUGAGUUCGAGAGAGGUGAGUGGAAUUCCGAGUGUAGAGGUGAAAUUCGUAGAUAUUCGGAGGAACACCAGUGGCGAAGGCGGCUCACUGGCUCGAUACUGACGCUGAGGUGCGAAAGUGUGGGGAGCAAACAGGAUUAGAUACCCUGGUAGUCCACACCGUAAACGAUGAAUGCCAGUCGUCGGGCAGUAUACUGUUCGGUGACACACCUAACGGAUUAAGCAUCCGC
rnacentral:rRNA from 1 species